ACACCUCAACUCUCAUGGUCCGCCAUGAUGAGCUUGGACUUUGGGGGCCUUGCCGGCCUAGCGUCGGCUCCUCUCAAAUGGAUCAGCUUGCCAGUGUUUGGUGGCGUCACAGGUGUGAUAACUAUCUACGCAUGUGGCUCUCUGCCAUGUAACCUUCAGUGAUGGAGGUUCGCUGGAGCUCACAGAUGUCUCUCCUUGGGAGGACAGCUUUUGAAC
rnacentral:misc_RNA from 1 species